CUCAUAUAGGCUGGGUUGUGUGUUCCUGUGAACAGGCUCAAGUCCUGGACUCCACUGAGACAACACUGAGGUCAAGAUGCUCAACAUGGGGGCUGUGCUGCUGUUACUAAUUGGUGUGACUGAUGGUGUGAAGAUUUUUUGCGACGCCACACAUCCAUACAUCACAUCCCAGUGCUUUGGCUCUCUGGGAGGAACCGUGGAGGUCCAGCUGCCUACUAAGACCUCACAAGAUGAUUCUUGCAGACUUAAGAAAAAGUAUGAAGUGAUUUUUUCCAGCAGAGGGCAGGAAACGAACAAUAAUCGAUAUUAAUUUAAUGCCAGUACUAGAAUAUUUACUAUAAAGGACAUCAACUGGUCAGACAAUAGUACAUACACAAUGGAUGCACAUGAUGCAGCUGGAAAUGAUUUAGAAAAUACAACAUGGUAUUUAACCAUUCAAGGUGAGUCACUAUAUCUUAUUUCAGUAGCAGUAGCUGGUUUUAGCUGCUGUUCCCCAUUAAGGUCAUUAAGGAUUAUUUAGACCCUAGAACGUCUGACUUCGUAGCUCUUAAAGAAACACUGUUGGCUCUCAGGCUCCAUGAUCAUAUUAUUGGUAUUGUCACAUGCUAUACUGUAAUUCUUGAAUGUUUUUAAGGCCUUUUCUAUGUAUCCUCUGCCCAUUUAUUAUUACUGCUGUCAAAAUAUGAUAUAAAGAGGGGGCUGUGUUGCUCUACUUUACUUCAGAAGUGCUUAGGGAGAAAAUACUGUUUAUUCUGUUACUGCCCUAUUUGUGUAUGACGGCAUAAAAUAUGUCAAGUACAACACUAGUUAGUCUGGGAGUAGGAGCAGGGGGGAUAAAGAGGUUGAUACUUCUGAUUAUAAUUGUAUGCAGUUAAGUUUCUAUGAGUGAAUAACAGAAGGUUUCUUUUCAGUCAAACUGUGAGACUCACCUCCUCAGUUGGUUUCCCUUAGCCCCGAUCUCCUCUCCCCUCCUGUCCCGGGAGUGUCUAUUCACGGGACAGCAGAGGGUGUCCUGCUCUGCUGGGGGGGGGGGCACUGCACUACAGCUUGAGUCUAGACGGACUCCCGCUGAACGGCACGCGUCUCCUCUCCGGACCCAGUAGCGCUAGUGACGUCACUCUGGAGCCGGGCCGGUCGGGACUGCUCAACUGCUCGGUCCGCAACAACGUGAGCCAAGCCGCGGCUAACAUCACCUUGUCUGUGUGUGGUGGCGACCACAUCCCUAUCGUCGCUCGUUCUCUGACGGUGGUGCUGCUGUUCCUAGUAGCAGUGGGAGUCUACUGGGCACUAAAGAUGAAGAAAACCUCAAGACAUCGAGACAUCGCGCUGUCCUCCAUGGCAGUAGAUGAUGAUGUGCUGAACGUUAACGUCUCCGGGGAGACCGGGAGGGCAGGGGGGGAGUGAGGUGGAGUACGGGGCGGUCGAGGUGGCUCCUGCCCCAGGCGGACGCUGGAGACCAAUGUGGACGAGUGUGUGUACGCUCAGCUCCGGAGGACGAGGCCCUGAAUGCUGUGAACAGCCAGAAGGACGCGUAGACAGCGCUUUAGCCAGAGAGCCAGCAGCCCGUUGACCUUUGACCUGCCAGGGACACUUCUCUCUCUGCAUCUGAUAAUGUCAAGAAGAUCUUUUAUGAUUAAUUAACUUUAUCCUCUGUUGCCCAAAGUGGUCACUAUUGGAAAUAGCAUUUCAUAUUAUUCUGCACGUUUAACUUUUGUAUUAUUAUACCUAGUAUGUAUACUAUUCUGCAUGUUUAACUAUUUUAUUAUUAUACCUCUUAUGUAUAUUAUACUAUUCUGCAUGCAUAACUAUGCUCUUUAUUUUGCACGUCAGCCUAAUUAUGAUAUAAAAUAACCAGCUAAUUAUCAACUGCUUCUUGGUAAAAAUAAUAUAAUCAUAUAAUUAUUUGGUUGCAAUUAAACUAUCAAUAAAUGUAUAAUAAAUAAAUAAAACAAAUAACCUACUGACCAUGAAAUUUGGGGACCUGUAAAAGGAAGCAUUACUUUACUUGACAUCUGGGUAAGUACCAGUACUACAUUGUAUCUGACCACCAUUGUACACUGUAUUGAAGUGUAUUGUAUUGUAUUGUAUUGUAGCACUUAAUAGUAUUGUAUUGUAUUGUAUUGUA